ACACACACACACACACACACACACUGUAUAUCCGUCCCACGUUUCCUCUAGGGAUAGUGUGUGUGUGUGUGUGUGUGUGU